rnacentral:rRNA from 1 species
CAGUCGCCGCGGUAAUACAGAGGGUGCAAGCGUUAAUCGGAAUUACUGGGCGUAAAGCGCGCGUAGGUGGUUCGUUAAGUUGGAUGUGAAAUCCCCGGGCUCAACCUGGGAACUGCAUCCAAAACUGGCGAGCUAGAGUAGGGCAGAGGGUGGUGGAAUUUCCUGUGUAGCGGUGAAAUGCGUAGAUAUAGGAAGGAACACCAGUGGCGAAGGCGACCACCUGGGCUCAUACUGACACUGAGGUGCGAAAGCGUGGGGAGCAAACAGGAUUAGAUACCCCUGUAGUCCCUGUCUCUUAUAC